CCUACGGGAGGCAGCAGUGGGGAAUUUUGGACAAUGGGGGAAACCCUGAUCCAGCCAUUCCGCGUGAGUGAAGAAGGCCUUCGGGUUGUAAAGCUCUUUCGGCAGGAACGAAACGGCGGACUCUAACAUAGUCUGUCAAUGACGGUACCUGAAGAAGAAGCACCGGCUAACUACGUGCCAGCAGCCGCGGUAAUACGUAGGGUGCGAGCGUUAAUCGGAAUUACUGGGCGUAAAGCGUGCGCAGGCGGCUUUGUAAGACGGAGGUGAAAUCCCUGGGCUUAACCUAGGAACUGCGUUCGUGACUGCAAAGCUAGAGUGCGGCAGAGGGGGGUGGAAUUCCUGGUGUAGCAGUGAAAUGCGUAGAGAUCAGGAGGAACACCGAUGGCGAAAGCGGUCUCCUGGCCCAAUACUGACGCUGAGAUGCGAAAGCUAGGGGAGCAAACAGGAUUAGAUCCCCUUGUAGU
rnacentral:rRNA from 1 species